rnacentral:rRNA from 1 species
GACGAACGCUGGCGGCGUGCUUAACACAUGCAAGUCGAGCGGUAAGGCCCUUCGGGGUACACGAGCGGCGAACGGGUGAGUAACACGUGAGUAAUCUGCCCAUCACUUCGGGAUAACUCCGGGAAACCGGUGCUAAUACCGAAUAUGACCACUUCAGGCAUCUGAUGGUGGUGGAAAGUUCCGGCGGUGAUGGAUGAGCUCGCGGCCUAUCAGCUUGUUGGUGGGGUAGUGGCCUACCAGGGCUUCGACGGGUAGCCGGCCUGAGAGGGUGACCGGCCACACUGGGACUGAGACACGGCCCAGACUCCUACGGGAGGCAGCAGUGGGGAAUAUUGGACAAUGGGCGAAAGCCUGAUCCAGCAACGCCGCGUGAGGGAUGACGGCCUUCGGGUUGUAAACCUCUUUCAGCAGGGACGAAGCGCAAGUGACGGUACCUGCAGAAGAAGCACCGGCCAACUACGUG